GGGGUCCCAUUGGGGUUAAUGGGGUCCUUAUGGGGUCCCUAUGGGGAUAAUGGGGUCCUUAUGGGGUUAAUGGAGUUCCUAUGGGGAUAAUGGGGUCUCUAUGGGGUUCAUGGGGUCCUUAUGGGGUCCCUGCGGGGAUAAUGGGGUCCUUAUGGGGUUAAUGGGGUUCCUAUGGGGAUCAUGGGGUCCUUAUGGGGUUAAUGGAGUUCCUAUGGGGAUAAUGGGGUCUCUGUGGGGUUCAUGGGGUCCUUAUGGGGUCCCUGCGGGGAUAAUGGGGUCCUUAUGGGGUUAAUGGGGUUCCUAUGGGGAUAAUGGGGUCCUUAUGGGGUUAAUGGGGUCCCUAUGGGGAUAAUGGGGUCCUUAUGGAGUCCAAAUGGAGUUAAUGGGGUCCCUAUGGGGUUUAUGGUGGUCUUUAUGGGGUUUAUGGGGGUCCUUACGGGGUCAAUGGGGUGCCUAUGGGGUCUAUGGGGUCCCUAUGGGGUUGAUUGGGUUCUUAUGUCCCUAUGGGGUCCAAUGGGGUCCCUAUGAGCUCCCCCCCACUAGCCCUUUGGCCCCGCCCACGCCCGGCUCUCAUCCAAUUCGCAGAGCUCCGUUUCCUUUUAAGCUCCGCCCUCCUCCUGGCAGUUCCCAAUUGCGCAAGCGCACUCCAACCGGAAGAGGCUUUUCUGGGCGCCGCCAUAUUGUGUCCGAUCCGCUUCCGCACUGCCCGGCUGGACGUGCCGGCAGCCGGCCGGCUCCACGGCCAUGUCCGAGACUUACGAUUUCCUAUUCAAGUUCCUGGUGAUCGGCAGCGCCGGGACGGGGAAAUCCUGCCUGCUUGCUGCACCCACUUCAUCGAGAGCAAGUGUGAGCAAUUAUACAUUAUUAAUUAGGGCCGUAAUUAAUUAUAUUAGGGGGGUUUGGACAUUAAGGGCGGUAGAGGGGGA
rnacentral:lncRNA from 1 species